rfam:Thermoplasma acidophilum DSM 1728 complete genome
GGGGUUGUAGCUUAGACAGGCUAUAGCACUCGGCUGAUAACCGAGAGGUCACCGGUUCGAAUCCGGUCAACCCCA